rnacentral:rRNA from 1 species
AGAUACCCUGUUAUUCUAAAAAAUAAAUAAUACUUCAAGGAAACUAAACAAAAUAAAUCUGACGGUAUUAACUUUUACAAAGGAAUUUGUUUCUUAAUCGACAAUACACGACUAACCUUACUUAAUACUUAUUUGUAUACCACUGUAAAGAAAUUAUUUAUAAUUAAUCUCAUAAAAGAAUAUUCUAAAAAAUCAAGUCAUGGUGCAAUUUUAUUAAGAUGAAAUGAAUUACAUUUAAUUAAUAAUAUAAAAAAUGAAAAAUUUUUAAAAAAAGAAUUUGUAAGUAAAAAUUUAUUAUCAUGAUAUUCUGAAAACUAACAUUAAUAUG